CCUAGCAUAGUGGUCCUGGAACCAUAACUGGUGAUGAAGCGUCUGUCAGCCUGGAGCCCUCAGCGAUUUCAAGGAGCAGAGCCCCCACUAAACACACACUGGACAGAUAAUGCAAGUGACCAGGAGCAGAUACUGAUGCCACAGGAAGAGCAGAGGGAGCUGGAGGAGUGAAGGCUGAGAGAGCGCACAGGUCAAGAAGACCUUCAUCUGAUGCAGAUGCUCCUUGCCAAACCAGUACAUUUCUCCAUGGGGCUAGGUGGCUGCAAUCCUAGCCAGGGUCAACUCUUGUUUAUGGAGAAUGGAAAACAGUGGACAGAAGAAGAUUAUCUGCGGAGGUGGAAUGGUGGAUUGCUUCUUCUCUGGGGCCACAUGAGAAGGCAAUUCCUGAGAGAGCAAUCAGACCAGAACAAAGUGCAUUCACCUUCUUGUUAACUGAUCAACAUCUGUUUCCAGAUGUUUCCCUGUGCUGGUUAUAUAGUUUGUGCUCAUUCAGAUGCAAAGCCUCUCUCCGUGUAGCUCAGCAGAUGCCAUCAACAGCUCUUCAGUCUGGUAGGGAUAGGCUCUGUCUGCAAGAGUCUCGUAACUGCAACCUAGCAAUGCUGGCACCAAAGUCAGAGUUCGGAACUCACUGCAAAAGGCACCCCCUCGGUGCACAGAUGAUGCAGCGGAUCAGUGUCUUUCUCACCAUGGUGACAGCAGUUGACAUGGAAACAGUUGUUCUCGCUUAUAUACAUAAUCAUUGCCCCUCACUCAGGCUUGCCAAAUGUUGAAAAUAUCUGUCUGCCCAGCAUUCAUUUCUUCCAUCUCUAGGAAAUGCACCAAGAUUAUCUUUUGGGAAAUCAUCUGGACUGAACAUCCAAACCACUUGUUUUGGAUAUUAUUUGUCCAAACUCAGCAUGUGACCAAUACCUGGUAAAACUGAGCCAUAGGAAUGUGUAACCAAGCCAUUCUGAGCCCAUGAGUGUCAGGUCCAGAUUUUGCUAGAACGAUUGGGAAAGUGACAGGGUUUUGCCUGACAUUAUAUGCUGAUGGAAAAGAAGCCUGUGGCGGCUGGAAGCUGUCUGUACCACCAGCUGUGUAGAACAUGCUUGAAAAUAAAGAAAAUUUAGAGGAAAAAAAGAGCUGAGGAGCUAAGAGAGACACAAUAUGCUGAUAAAAUAUGAACACCUGCAUGCAGCCUUACUUGAACUUAAAUACACCUUUUGACUUUUCAGGUAUAUGAACCAAUUUUCGCCCCUUUUGCUUAAGGAAGUUUGAGUUAGGCUUCUGUCACUUGCACCCACAAAAGUCCUGAUCAAUAUACAUGUUUUCUCCCUCUGUGGAGAUUUUCAUAGGAAUUGAGCAGAACUAGAGAUACACCUUUGAAAGUUUCAGCAUUUGAACAAUCUACACCUUUCUAGAAGCCCUGCUUCUGGAAAGAUAUCAGUUCAUCAGCACAUGACUAGUUGAUAAUUGCUACCUGCCAAGCAUUGUGUUGGACACCAUGGUGAGGAAGGAAGAAGCCAGCCAGGGGCCCUGUCCUCACAGAGUUUACAGCCUGGGCAGGAAGGCAGCAGUAAUACAAGUUAAAACUUAGAGCAGAAGUUCUCACCUUCAGGACCACAGCACACUGGUGAGUCACCAUAUAUUAUGAGGUAUGCCACAAAGAAUUUGUGACUCAUGAAGCUAAAGUACCAAUGUUAGCAGAUGAUUUAAAAAAUAAACAUGAAUUAGAGUAGAUUCAAGGUUAUCGCAAUAAUAAUGUCAUAUUCAUUCAUCUGGUUCUUCAGAAUGCUUUCCUGAGUGGAGAGAAAGGGUUGACAUAAUAGCUAACACCCACAUACCUGUGUCUCCGGGAGUGUACUGUUCUCAAGGAUGCUAUCCAACCUGUGUCCCCAAGCAAUGACAAUAAUAUCCAAGUGCAGGGGCAGAAGGAGUGGCAACAACAGGAGAAUUGCCCGCACUUAUUGUGCACUGUUUAGGCACCAGGUACUGUGCUGGGAGCAUUAGAAGGGCUGUCUCAUUUACUGUACAUGAGAAAGCUCUGAGUAAUUAUCCUCCCCGUCUGGCAGAUCAAAGAACAACCCAAUGCUAAACAGUGUGACUCAAGCACAACCGGUCUUCCG